AAUUUUUUCUUGCAUUUGUGGACAUGCUAAGUCAGCCCUUGCAUCCUCAUACGGCCAAUGGUGAUAGAGCAACUCACCUGCAUAUUCUUUCCAUUGGUCGACACUCCUCACAUGAUAAGCUUCUUCAUCCUAAUACCCUUGUUAUACGCAUAGUGUGAUCAGAAAAGAGGUCAGCCUGCAUGAAGAGUCAUUGGUCGAAAAAUCCCACACUUCGCAUCCUUGGUCUGUGCGAAUGAGUUGGAAAAAAUAGGGGGCCAAGUAAAAAUCUGGUCUGUACUAGCAUGUCAAACAGCCCCAACUUCUAGUUUCCUUCUCAACCGGUGUUGUGUGAAUAAAAGAAUAACAAGUCUGAUUUUUGUUUCUCUUCUUUGCUGGACUUGGGUUCAGAUUGUGAGCCCAUAGCAUCAUUUUUCGUUUCCCUAUGCGCUAGUUAGAAGAACAAUCAAGCUGAGUUAUCCUCUCCUUCUUGCUACAAACCGUGAACCCUUAAGAAAUAAACCACUCUUCAAGUCUUUUCUCUUCCCCACUGAUUCGGCAAAGUGCAGCAAACAUGGGGAUUUCAACAUAAACUCACCAUCCAUCUUUCCCUCUUGUUCGGCCGAAGCCUCACCUCAAGGAAAGGAGUCCGCCUUGCUUAAGUCUUUCCAUCCUUUGCAUGCAGCUGGAUCGGAUCCUUUGGAGCAUGAGACGUUGAGGGUGCAUUCCUAUUCUUUCUCCUCUUGUGCUCGGCCAAACACCUUGAAGUAUGAGGUGAUGCGGUUUUUUUUUAUUAUUCCUCUGUUCCUAUGUGUCCCAUUCUGUUUUAAUGGAGCCUUUGCAUGCAUAUUUUGUUUUGUGAAAUUCGGUGUAGUAAGAGUGUGAAUAUACAAGCACAAAACUUGUUGGCUAUCUCGUUAGUGAUGGCGAAAUCGGUGUUUUGCAAGGAGGUAAAUAUACUGAACAAUCAAGUUCCUAUUCUCUUCUUUGGUCUCGGUCACAUCAUGUAGGCUAGGAAGUUUCUUGUUGUUAUCUUCUUCUUUCGGUUCAGCAUAAAAGACCGAACUCUUGGAGUACAUGUAAGUUUAAUAUAACUCAAUUAAGAGCUGGGAAACAGUUACUGUGACUUAGAGAGGCUGUUCUUUGAAUUAGAAAAUGGUAGUGGCUUUGCAUGUGUUUAAAAAUGUGUAGACCGUAUGCUGGAAGAAUUAAAUAAGCCAUGCUCAUGUGAUGCUGUUAGUAUUUUGAUGUUGUGAGUAUUUUGUAAAUGAAAUUAGGAACCAGGCCUUGAAUGCAUUAAGAACCAGUUAGACAGCAUGUUAAAUCGCCCUACCAAUCUCCUAAGAUGGGUAGAACAUGUAGGUAAAUAAAAGGUUAAAACCCUUAGGUGAUGACUUCACGAACUGAAUUUUGUUUGCAAGAAGAACCUUAGAUGCUUUCGUUUGAUCACCUUUGGUAGUGCACCUUAAAUCUGAAAAUUUAUUAAGUCUUGAGUCUUAGGAUUCGAUGAUUAACCAAGUACUAAGGAGAGUGGGGACUCUAUGUAAUGUGUAGAACUAAUAAGAUAAAUAUGUUAAGUACCUAAUGUUGAUUUAGAACCAAAAAGGUAGGUACAGAAUACUUUGGUUUGAUCAAUUAAGGGCCAUUGAUAAAUUAAAUCUGUGUAAAGAAUAAUUUGUGGCAACUAAUUAAGGGUAAAGACAACCGAAGUAAAUAGGGAUUUACAUUUGUGUCAUUUGUUAAUCUUUGGCAAAGUUAAAGUUAAAACGGAAAAUUAAAUGACAUGAGAUGCAUGAUAAAUUGAUUUAAAUCGUAAGAGUUAAAAGCAUGAAAAAAAUUAGUUAAAGGUCAUAAAAUAUAUUUUUUCUUAUGUAAACCAUGAAAACCGAACCUGUGCAUAUUGUGGACCUUGGAAUAAUUGUGAUUACUAGUAAUGAUGAAAUGGUCUUAAGGGCAGAAUAUAAUUGGCACUAGGAACCUUAUAUUUCGAUGAAAGUAUAUAAAUUAGAAGCCUAGAAAUUAUUGGUGACUUAUAGGGAUAAUUGUAUAAAAUUCUGACUUGGUACAAUGGUAUAUUAGGUGCGCUAAACCCUUAGACCGUGCACUGUUUUGCGGCUCAUUGGUAAAUUAAUUGUGGCACGCGAGGUAUGUGUUAGGCGGUAUUACCUGAUGUGACUAUUGACUAGUGUAUGAAUUGUGAAUUGUUGCUCACAUGUGCCUUAUGAUUAUUCGACCAUAAAUGAUGAAAUUAUUCUGCCUAUGGAAAUGUUAUGAUUAUGGAAAUUCUGUUAUGAAAAGAACGAAUGGCUUGGCAGUAUGGCAUCCAAUGUACAUGAAGUAUAUGUUAUGAAAUGAUGAUAUAUGCAUGCACCGUACAUCAUACCGCACUUGUCUUUCUGUUUGUGUGUGACAGCAUAGCAUGGCAUGCAUGUACCAAAUUCAUGUUAGUCUUGAGUCUUAGAAUAGUUAUCUACAGGAUCAUGUGAUUGAGCACGCAUCAUAUAGGCAUCCCUUGAUAUCAGGGUACUGGGACAGUUGGCGUCAGUCCGCAUAGGCCACAGUGGAAUUCCCCAAAUGAUGGUGUUGUGCAUGGAAUUUCCACUGUGAUGGCACGCGCACGACGAUGCUAUGAGCGUGAUGAAGGCGUUAUAUACGCAAUAUGAUAUAUGAUGAAAUGGAUAUAUGAUGAAAAGGUUAUAAGAUGAAAAGGAUUUCAUGUUUGAAGCGACUGUUUAUAUUUUGUGCCUAGUUUAAUACUGUUGCAUUAUUGGUUUUGUUGCCACACUACUGGGAUUUCUCUCACCCCUUUGGGGCUGCUAUUUUUACAAAAUGGACGUAAAAGCUUUUGAGGACUUGGAUAUUUGUUGUUGGCUUCUAUUGUUUUGGACAUGCUGCUAUUGAUAUGAUAUUUUAUGGAUGACUGUAUGAAAUUGAGAAGCUUUUAUUAUUGUGAACUAUGAUUUUAUUAUUGCAUUACGAUUUUAUGACCAACAAGUAUUAUGGAAACAGAUGUUGAAACGUUUGCGAAAA